GAUGAACGCUGGCGGCGUGCCUAACACAUGCAAGUCGAACGGAGUCGUUUUGGAAAUCUCUUCGGAGAUGGAAUUCUCGACUUAGUGGCGGACGGGUGAGUAACGCGCGAGCAAUCUGCCUUUAAGAGGGGGAUAACAGUCGGAAACGGCUGCUAAUACCGCAUAAAGCAUUAAAUUCGCAUGUUUUUGAUGCCAAAGGAGCAAUCCGCUUUUAGAUGAGCUCGCGUCUGAUUAGCUAGUUGGCGGGGUAACGGCCCACCAAGGCGACGAUCAGUAGCCGGACUGAGAGGUUGAACGGCCACAUUGGGACUGAGACACGGCCCAGACUCCUAUGGGAGGCAGCAGUGGGGAAUAUUGCGCAAUGGGGGAAACCCUGACGCAGCAACGCCGCGUGAUUGAAGAAGGCCUUCGGGUUGUAAAGAUCUUUAAUCAGGGACGAAACAAAUGACGGUACCUGAAGAAUAAGCUCCGGCUAACUACGUG
rnacentral:rRNA from 1 species